rnacentral:rRNA from 1 species
AGACCCGAAACCCGGUGAUCUAGCCAUGGGCAGGUUGAAGGUUGGGUAACACUAACUGGAGGACCGAACCGACUAAUGUUGAAAAAUUAGCGGAUGACCUGUGGCUGGGGGUGAAAGGCCAAUCAAACCGGGAGAUAGCUGGUUCUCCCCGAAAGCUAUUUAGGUAGCGCCUCGUGAAUUCAUCUCCGGGGGUAGAGCACUGUUUCGGCCAGGGGGCCAUCCCGGCUUACCAACCCGAUGCAAACUGCGAAUACCGGAGAAUGUUAUCACGGGAGACACACGGCGGGUGCUAACGUCCGUCGUGAAGAGGGAAACAACCCAGACCGCCAGCUAAGGUCCCAAAGUCAUGGUUAAGUGGGAAACGAUGUGGGAAGGCCCAGACAGCCAGGAUGUUGGCUUAGAAGCAGCCAUCAUUUAAAGAAAGCGUAAUAGCUCACUGGUCGAGUCGGCCUGCGCGGAAGAUGUAACGGGGCUAAACCAUGCACCGAAGCUGCGGCAGCGACACUGUGUGUUGUUGGGUAGGGGAGCGUUCUGUAAGCCUGCGAAGGUGGCCUGUGAGGGUUGCUGGAGGUAUCAGAAGUGCGAAUGCUGACAUAAGUAACGAUAAUGCGGGUGAAAAACCCGCACG